rnacentral:misc_RNA from 1 species
GAUGAAGAACUUAGCGAAAUGCGAUAUGUAAUGUGAAUUGCAGAAUUCAGUGAAUCAUCGAAUCUUUGAACGCACAUUGCGCCCGCCAGUAUUCUGGCGGGCAUGCCUGUUCGAGCGUCAUUUCAACCAUCAAGCCCUGCUUGCGUUGGGGUCCUGCGGCUGCCCGCAGGCCCUGAAAACCAGUGGCGGGCUCGCUAGUCACACCGAGCGCAGUAAUACAUCUCGCUUUGGGCGUGCGGCGGGUUCUUGCCGUUAAACACCCCCUUUUUACCAAGGUUGACCUCGGAUCAGGUAGGAAUACCCGCUGAACUUAAGCAUAUCAAUAAGCGGAGGA